GAGGUGAGAGAUAUUUCUUCUUCAUUUUUCCAGCCAAGAGAGUAGGAAAAGUCAAGGAAAGCUGCAGGAAUUUUUUUCCCUUGUCCUACUCCAAUUUCCCAACCGUGAGAGAUAUACUUCUCCAUUGCCUCCAUUUUUGACCAAGUCCAACUAGCAUGCAAGUUGACUAAGCCAAAUUUACCUCUUCUUGUUUCUUUUCUUCAGCUCAACCACCGAGAGAAAGAAAAAUAAUGACAAACAAGACUGGUCACUUGUUUUGUCUCACUUCAGCCGAGAAAGAGUAGAGAGAGAGUUGAGAGGAAAAAUUUGUGCCAUCCUUCAACCUUCCAGCCGAGAGGAGCUUGAGAGAAGAAUAAAGAAAUUUCUCUUGUUUUGCUUCCACUUCAACCAAGAGGAACCAGAGAGAGAACACUUAAAGGAAGCUUGUGUCUUACUUCCAUUUCCAGCUUGCUUGAUCGGGUAGAAGGACCAAAACAGGGGAGUUAACUUCUAGCUUGUGUCAAAGGGCGUGACGGUGGUCCGAAACGCUCGUCGGGUGGGCAAGUGUGAAAAUUCUGUUUGCUUACUUGGUGAGUGUACUACUCACAUGAUUGAUACUUCUUGGCUUUGUUGUACUUGAGAUACAUGAUUGGAAUGUUUGUGUUUACUGAUGAUACUGGUUGAGACAAGGGUGUACUUUACCACUCUCGCACUAUAUGGUUUAAUUGACUGUUCACUGUAUCACUUGAAUUGACUUGAUUAUACUUGAACUGUGUCAUUUGGACGUGUCUCCAACGAAUUAUACUGUUAUCACUGAGCUCAACCCCAUUGGUGGUCAAUUGAAUCGAGCCCGUAAGGGCUUGGUCGAGGAAAUUGAUAAACCAUGGGGACUAUUAUAAGGAAUCAUUGAGUAUGAGACUCUUGGUUCCGGUAUAGUCGAGUAUUACCAUUUAUUGAACUGUUUGGAGUUCGGGCCCGGUAGGAGUAUGUGAGGUGGAAGGAAAUGGGAGUAAAGUGGGGUCUACGGUAUCGGUACUUUUAAACAUUGACGGAGCGUCAAUGAGGUGAGAUCAAGUAUGCCAAAAGUGGAAAAGGGCUCUUGAGAGCCGACCGUAUCCUUUUACAAAUCUUCUUGGAAUGUGAUAUUUGUUGUGCUUACUUGACGAACUUAUUUGAAUAGUGUAUCACUGUGAUUUUGUACCCCUUGAAUGCCUGAGUGACAGUACCUCCUUGGGCGAAAGCUCACUCCAUUAAAUUUUGUUUUCCUUACAAGGAACAACUUUUGAAGACUGUGAUAUUUUGAUGUACGAGUUGAGCUAGUUUUAAUACAUAUUCUGUGUAAAGCUCCUUGAUGCUUGGAAACUCUGAAUGUACUUGGAUCCAAAUAUUUUUCUUUUAUUUGUAAAUUACAAACGUAUAUGUAUAAAACUAUUUACCUUGUUCAUGUAUCCUAUUUGGUUUGGAAAUAUUUUUCCGAGUUAUAUGGCUAUA